AGCGAACGCUGGCGGCAGGCCUAACACAUGCAAGUCGAACGAACUCUUCGGAGUUAGUGGCGGACGGGUGAGUAACACGUGGGAACGUGCCUUUUGGUUCGGAAUAACUCAGGGAAACUUGUGCUAAUACCGAAUGCGCCCUUCGGGGGAAAGAUUUAUCGCCAUUAGAGCGGCCCGCGUCUGAUUAGCUAGUUGGUGAGGUAACGGCCCACCAAGGCGACGUUCAGUAGCUGGUCUGAGAGGAUGACCAGCCACACUGGGACUGAGUCACGGCCCAGACUCCUACGGGAGGCAGCAGUGGGGAAUCUUGCGGAAUGGGCGAAAGCCUGACGCAGCCAUGCCGCGUGAAUGAUGAAGGUCUUAGGAUUGUAAAAUUCUUUCACCGGGGACGAUAAUGACGGUACCCGGAGAAGAAGCCCCGGCUAACUUCGUG
rnacentral:rRNA from 1 species